rfam:Xenopus laevis strain J chromosome 9_10S, whole genome shotgun sequence.
CCCCCUCUCUCUCUUCUCCCCCCUCCCCAGCCAUCAAGCCCUUCCUUGGCAUUAUUCUCUUCGUCACUAAAUCCUACUGGAUGCAAAGGGCUGAAAACAUUUUACAC